rnacentral:rRNA from 1 species
UACGUAGGGUGCGAGCGUUAAUCGGAAUUACUGGGCGUAAAGCGUGCGCAGGCGGUUCGUUAAGUCAGCUGUGAAAGCCCCGGGCUCAACCUGGGAACUGCGGUUGAAACUGGCGAACUAGAAUCUGGCAGAGGGGGGUGGAAUUCCACGUGUAGCAGUGAAAUGCGUAGAGAUGUGGAGGAACACCGAUGGCGAAGGCAGCCCCCUGGGCUAAGAUUGACGCUCAGGCACGAAAGCGUGGGGGGCAAACAGG